GAUGCUAAUACCGCAUAACAACUUGGACCGCAUGGUCCGAGUUUGAAAGAUGGCUUCGGCUAUCACUUUUGGAUGGUCCCGCGGCGUAUUAGCUAGAUGGUGAGGUAACGGCUCACCAUGGCAAUGAUACGUAGCCGACCUGAGAGGGUAAUCGGCCACAUUGGGACUGAGACACGGCCCAAACUCCUACGGGAGGCAGCAGUAGGGAAUCUUCCACAAUGGACGAAAGUCUGAUGGAGCAACGCCGCGUGAGUGAAGAAGGGUUUCGGCUCGUAAAACUCUGUUGUUAAAGAAGAACAUAUCUGAGAGUAACUGUUCAGGUAUUGACGGUAUUUAACCAGAAAGCCACGGCUAACUACGUGCCAGCAGCCGCGGUAAUACGUAGGUGGCAAGCGUUGUCCGGAUUUAUUGGGCGUAAAGCGAGCGCAGGCGGUUUUUU
rnacentral:rRNA from 2 species